rnacentral:rRNA from 1 species
GAUGAACGCUGGCGGCGUGCCUAAUACAUGCCAGUCGAGCGAACAGACGAGGAGCUUGCUCCUCUGACGUUAGCGGCGGACGGGUGAGUAACACGUGGAUAACCUACCUAUAAGACUGGGAUAACUUCGGGAAACCGGAGCUAAUACCGGAUAAUAUAUUGAACCGCAUGGUUCAAUAGUGAAAGACGGUUUUGCUGUCACUUAUAGAUGGAUCCGCGCCGCAUUAGCUAGUUGGUAAGGUAACGGCUUACCAAGGCAACGAUGCGUAGCCGACCUGAGAGGGGGAUCGGCCACACUGGAACUGAGACACGGCCCAGACCCCUAGGGGAGGCAGCAGGAGGGAAUCUUCCGAAAUGGGCGAAAGCCUGACGGAGCAACGCCGGGGGGGUGAAGAAGGUCUUCGGAUCGUAAAACCCUUUUAUUGGGGAAAAACAAAUGUGUAAGUAACUAUGCACGUCUUGACGGUACCAAAUCAAAAAGCCACGGCUAACUACGU